GGAGUUUUACAGUAAGCUUUUUUUCUUCAUGGCUAUUCCUCUGUGAAUUGUUUUUAUGUCUCUAGUGGGCGUGCCAUGCAAAUGAUAUCCUGUGUUUGAACCAUUUAUGCUUAUAUACGUUCAGCUCAACAACACACCAGCAGUUUGUGUUCAUUUACAGAAACAAUAAUCAUUUGAGAUGGGACUAGGCAGAAUUCUGAGUUACUUUGCUUUAGCAACAUUCAUUCAAUAUUCCUGCAGUCAGACAUUGAUUGAGUCUGAUUCAGUGACCAUCAAACCUGAUCAGUCUCAUAAACUGACCUGCACAGCCUCUGGAUUUGAUUUUAGUAGUUACUGGGUGGCUUGGAUCAGACAGGCACCUGGAAAAGGGCUGGAAUUUGUUGCAACUAUCUAUGAUACCAGUAACAUACAUUACUCCAGUGCAGUUUAUGGCUGCUUCACCAUCUCCAGAGACAACAGUAAGAAGCAGGUGUAUCUGCAGAUGAACAGCGUUACGCUGGUAAGGGAAGAUGAGGUGAGCUCCAGGACAUUUACAUCGAAGCAUUUCACCCAGGAUUGUGCAGUUUCUCAUGCAUGCAAUCCAGCUGUGCUAAUGAGUAAUGUCAUUGUAUAUGCAGAGAAAAUGCAUGGUAACUUUUAUCACUAUGGACUGUAUAUAUAUGUAAAAUUAUGUUUUUAUUUCUGAGUAACUUGUACAUAUUUUGUAGAUUUAGUUGAGAAGGAAUAGUUCACCUAAAGACAAAAUCAC